rnacentral:lncRNA from 1 species
AUGAGAAGCAGUAAAUCAACAGAGGUGCCUUUAUCAAAUCCAAGGAACUCUCAAAGCAAUGAUACUGUUCAAGAUAUAACCAGAACAUGGGAUGCACUUUCUCAGACCAAGGCUGCUCUGAGACACAUUGAAAACAAAUUAGAAGUAGCUCCUUCAAGUACAGCUGUGUUUGAUUCUGUCAUGGAUGUCAAGAAGUCAUCUGCAAGUGCUACCAGAAAAAUAAGUAGAAAAGGUAGGUAUGAAGUUUCUUCCAGAGAUAAAAAUAUAAAUUUUUGAUGUUAGUUUUUUGUUUCUUUGUUAUUAGCAUAUGUUUGUGGUUCAUAAUAUUGUAAUUACAUUCAUCUUAGGGAAUUUUAUCUUAAUCAUUUUAAUAGUCCCAGCAUUUAAUUUUCUUUGGUACUGAGAAGUAUUUAUAAAGCAGCCUCAUCCUCAGUGAUUGUAGAUGGUGUUUUCACUAUCUUUUGAUCAGGAACUUUAGCACCAUUCCAUCCCCUUUGACAAUGAGUUUUCAUUUCUUUGUAAUAAUAAGAACUUCGAGUAUUUGA